rnacentral:rRNA from 1 species
UACGGAGGAUCCGAGCGUUAUCCGGAUUUAUUGGGUUUAAAGGGAGCGUAGGCGGGUUGUUAAGUCAGUUGUGAAAGUUUGCGGCUCAACCGUAAAAUUGCAGUUGAUACUGGCAUCCUUGAGUACAGUAGAGGUAGGCGGAAUUCGUGGUGUAGCGGUGAAAUGCUUAGAUAUCACGAAGAACUCCGAUUGCGAAGGCAGCCUGCUGGACUGUAACUGGCGCUGAUGCUCGAAAGUGUGGGUAUCAAACAGG